AACGAACGCUGGCGGCAUGCCUAACACAUGCAAGUCGAACGAGACCUUCGGGUCUAGUGGCGCACGGGUGCGUAACGAGUGGGCAUCUGCCCUUGGGUUCGGAAUAACAGUUAGAAAUUACUGCGAAUACCGGAUGAUGACUUCGGUCCAAAGAUUUAUCGCCCAGGGAAGAGCCCGCGUCGGAUUAGCUUGUUGGUGAGGUAAAAGCGCACCAAGGCGACGAUCCGUAGCUGGUCUGAGAGGAUGAUCAGCCACACUGGGACUGAGACACGGCCCAGCCUCCUACGGGAGGCAGCAGUGGGGAAUAUUGGACAAUGGGCGAAAGCCUGAUCCAGCAAUGCCGCGUGAGUGAGGAAGGCCUUAGGGUUGUAAAGCUCUUUUACCCGGGAUGAUAAUGACAGUACCGGGAGAAUAAGCCCCGGCUAACUCCGUGUCAGCAGCCGCCGUAAAAC
rnacentral:rRNA from 1 species